CUGGCGGCGCGCCUAAUACAUGCAAGUCGAGCGAGAAGACGUAGCAAUACGUUUGUAAAGCGGCGAACGGGUGAGGAAUACAUGGGUAACCUACCCUCGAGUGGGGAAUAACUAGCCGAAAGGUUAGCUAAUACCGCAUACGAUUCCCGGACUUCGGUUCGGGAGGGAAAGCGAUACCGUGGGUAUCGCGCUCUUGGAUGGGCUCAUGUCCUAUCAGCUUGUUGGUGAGGUAAUGGCUCACCAAGGCUUCGACGGGUAGCUGGUCUGAGAGGACGAUCAGCCACACUGGCACUGCGACACGGGCCAGACUCCUACGGGAGGCAGCAGUAAGGAAUAUUGCGCAAUGGACGAAAGUCUGACGCAGCGACGCCGCGUGGGGGAUGAAGGUCUUCGGAUUGUAAACCCCUUUCGGGAGGGAAGAUGGAAUGGGGUAACCCAUUUGGACGGUACCUCCAGAAGCAGCCACGGCUAACUUCGUGCCAGCAGCCGCGGUAAUACGAAGGUGGCAAGCGUUGUUCGGAUUCACUGGGCGUACAGGGAGCGUAGGCGGUUGGGUAAGCCCUCCGUGAAAUCUCCGGGCCUAACCCGGAAAGUGCAGAGGGGACUGCUCAGCUAGAGGAUGGGAGAGGAGCGCGGAAUUCCCGGUGUAGCGGUGAAAUGCGUAGAGAUCGGGAGGAAGGCCGGUGGCGAAGGCGGCGCUCUGGAACAUUUCUGACGCUGAGGCUCGAAAGCGUGGGGAGCAAACAGGAUUAGAUACCCUGGUAGUCC
rnacentral:rRNA from 1 species